rnacentral:rRNA from 1 species
GAUAUCCCAUGGUGUAUGCUCUUUGCGGAUGAUGUGGUGCUAGUUGACGAUAGUCGGACGGGGGUAAAUAGGAAGUUAGAGUUAUGGAGACAAACCUUGGAAUCGAAAGGGUUUAGGCUUAGUAGAACUAAAACCGAGUACAUGAUGUGCGGUUUCAGUACUACUAGCUGUGAGGAGGAGAAGGUUAGCCUUGAUGGCCAGGUGGUACCUCGGAAGGACACCUUUCGGUAUUUCGGGUCAAUGUUGCAGGAGGAUGGGGGUAUUGAUGAAGAUGUGAACCAUCGAAUCAAAGCCGGAAGGAUGAAGUGGCGCCAAGCUUCUGGCAUUCUCUGUGACAAGAGAGUGCCACAAAAGCUAAAAGGCAAGUUCUACAGGACGGCGGUUCGACCCGCAAUGUUGUAUGGCGCGGAGUGUUGGCCGACUAAAAGGCGACAUGUUCAACAGUUAGGUGUGGCGGAGAUGCGUAUGUUGAGAUGGAUGUGUGGCCACACGAGGAAGGAUCGAGUUCGGAAUGAUGAUAUACGAGAUAGAGUUGGGGUAGCACCAAUUGAGGAGAAGCUUGUCCAACAUCAUUUGAGAUGGUUUGGGCAUAUUCAGCGCAGGCCUCCAGAAGCUCCAGUGCAUAGCGGACAGCUAAAGCGUGCGGAGAAUGUCAAGAGAGGGCGGGGUCGACCGAUUUUGACAUGGGAGGAGUCCGUUAAGAGAGACCUGAAGGAUUGGAGUAUCGACAAAGAGCUAGCUAUGGAUAGGGGUGCGUGGAAGCUUGCUAUCCAU